rnacentral:rRNA from 1 species
AGACCUUAAGCAAAGCUCAAAAAUAACGUCCCAGUUCGGAUUGCAGGCUGCAACCCGCCUGCAUGAAGCUGGAAUCGCUAGUAAUCGCGGAUCAGAAUGCCGCGGUGAAUACGUUCCCGGGUCUUGUACACACCGCCCGUCACACCAUGGGAGUCGGAAAUGCCCGAAGCCGGUGACUCAACCUUUAAGGAGAGAGCCGUCGAAGGCAGGUCUGAUAACUGGGGUGAAGUCGUAACAAGGUAUC